CACAGAUGGUGAGUAGCUGAUUAGAGUAAUCCGGGUUGAAGAAUCGGGCAUCCCGGAUGUGUGGAUGAGGACUGUGGGGGGAAACCUGUUGCUUUGUUAAAAAUCCUCUUAGAAGUCAGGUCAUGUGACCUCCCUGUGGGCUGCAGGAUGUGCAUGGAUGGUCAUUCACAAGCUGGAUGGAGGCGAUCACACUGCAGCCUAGAAAAAACACAGCACGCUAGACCAAAAUCUGGCCUCGACACCAGCCAUGCCCCUCCACAGUCUCACCGUGAAGGAGGCGUGGCCUCAGGACAGGAGCCAAGAGGAUGAGG